GCCUCCUAUUGCUUCACAUAUAUCCACAUAUAAGCCCUAUACAUACAAGAUAUGUCUUCUAUAUAGCUAAUGGCAGGAUCAUUUUGUAGCUCAUAUCUCAUUUUGGCAACUGUGGAUCCAUACUAAUGCUUUUCUUGCGUCUUAUUUCCAUAACGUUAUUGUACUGGCAAGCUCAGAUCGACCGCUACAGCGUCGCGUAGUUGAUGACGUUAUCCGCAUGCGGCCCAGCGCACUGCGUAGUUGAUGACAUCACCCGAAUGCGUCCAGCGAGCUGUAUUUCAUUUUUGGCGCCGAAAGAUAGUGGCUGGGAGCACCGAGCCAGAAUUAUUCAAACUUGAAAAAACUCUCCAGAUUAAACUGAUCGAGAUGGAGAAAGAUGGCACACAAUGGCAAAUAAAACGUCCUCAACUCAAAGUACAGUGAGCAGCAGGGGCCGAAUGAGAAGGCUUCAACGUAAAAGGUUGACAAUAAAAAGGGAGGGGCUUCCAAAUACGAGCGCCAGGAGGGAGGGUCAUGACAGACUUUCAAAGAAUAAGAUGCUACGUUGAAGAAGUGGCGGCAGCCAGCCGAGGGCAGAUAGGCACAUCUAUUAAUUCGAAGCUCACGGAGCUGAGAAGAGCAAAAAGAUAAUUUUUUUUUUCUGUUCAGUUUUUUGUCUUAUUUUUGUUCUUGUACUAUUUGAUUGUUCUUGUAAAUACAUAAUGUACAGUACAUUUCUAUAUUUUGGACUUUUAUUUAUGGUGCC